rnacentral:rRNA from 1 species
GAUGAACGCUAGCGGCAGGCUUAACACAUGCAAGUCGAGGGGCAGCAUAAUGGAUAGCAAUAUCUAUGGUGGCGACCGGCGCACGGGUGAGUAACGCGUAUCCAACCUGCCCAUCACUUGGGGAUAACCUUGCGAAAGUAAGACUAAUACCCAAUGACGUCUCUAGAAGACAUCUGAAGGAGAUUAAAGAUUUAUCGGUGAUGGAUGGGGAUGCGUCUGAUUAGCUUGUUGGCGGGGUAACGGCCCACCAAGGCGACGAUCAGUAGGGGUUCUGAGAGGAAGGUCCCCCACAUUGGAACUGAGACACGGUCCAAACUCCUACGGGAGGCAGCAGUGAGGAAUAUUGGUCAAUGGACGAGAGUCUGAACCAGCCAAGUAGCGUGCAGGAUGAAGGCUCUAUGGGUCUAAACUCUUUUANAUGGGAAUAAAG